GAUGAACGCUGGCGGCGUGCUUAACACAUGCAAGUCGAACGGUGAACACGGAGCUUGCUCUGUGGGAUCAGUGGCGAACGGGUGAGUAACACGUGAGCAACCUGCCCCUGACUCUGGGAUAAGCGCUGGAAACGGCGUCUAAUACUGGAUAUGUGACGUGACCGCAUGGUCUGCGUUUGGAAAAAUUUUUCGGUUGGGGAUGGGCUCGCGGCCUAUCAGCUUGUUGGUGAGGUAAUGGCUCACCAAGGCGUCGACGGGUAGCCGGCCUGAGAGGGUGACCGGCCACACUGGGACUGAGACACGGCCCAGACUCCUACGGGAGGCAGCAGUGGGGAAUAUUGCACAAUGGGCGCAAGCCUGAUGCAGCAACGCCGCGUGAGGGAUGACGGCCUUCGGGUUGUAAACCUCUUUUAGCAGGGAAGAAGCGAAAGUGACGGUACCUGCAGAAAAAGCGCCGGCUAACUACGUG
rnacentral:rRNA from 1 species